GGAGGGUACAGCUCAGUGGGAGAGCAUGUGCUUAGCAUGCACAAGGCCCUGAGUUCAAUCCCCAGUCCCUCCU
rnacentral:tRNA from 1 species